AACGAACGCUGGCGGCAUGCCUAACACAUGCAAGUCGAACGAGACCUUCGGGUCUAGUGGCGCACGGGUGCGUAACGCGUGGGAACCUGCCCUUAGGUUCGGAAUAACUCCCCGAAAGGGGUGCUAAUACCGGAUAAUGUCUUCGGACCAAAGAUUUAUCGCCUUUGGAUGGGCCCGCGUUGGAUUAGCUAGUUGAUAGGGUAAAAGCCUACCAAGGCGACGAUCCAUAGCUGGUCUGAGAGGAUGAUCAGCCACACUGGGACUGAGACACGGCCCAGACUCCUACGGGAGGCAGCAGUGGGGAAUAUUGGACAAUGGGCGAAAGCCUGAUCCAGCAAUGCCGCGUGAGUGAUGAAGGCCUUAGGGUUGUAAAGCUCUUUUACCCGGGAUGAUAAUGACAGUACCGGGAGAAUAAGCCCCGGCUAACUCCGUG
rnacentral:rRNA from 1 species